UACGGAGGGUGCAAGCGUUGUCCGGAAUCACUGGGCGUAAAGGGCGCGUAGGCGGCUCAUGAAGGCUGUGGUGAAAGUCCGGGGCUCAACCUCGGAUCGGCCGUGGCGACUCGUGGGCUGGAGCACUGUAGAGGCGGGUGGAAUUCCGGGUGUAGCGGUGGAAUGCGUAGAGAUCCGGAAGAACACCAGUGGCGAAGGCGGCCCGCUGGGCAGUGGCUGACGCUGAGGCGCGACAGCGCGGGGAGCAAACAGG
rnacentral:rRNA from 1 species